rnacentral:rRNA from 1 species
ACGGAAGGCAGCAGUGGGGAAUAUUGCACAAUGGGGGAAACCCUGAUGCAGCGACGCCGCGUGAGUGAAGAAGUAUUUCGGUAUGUAAAGCUCUAUCAGCAGGAAAGAAAAUGACGGUACCUGACUAAGAAGCCCCGGCUAACUACGUGCCAGCAGCCGCGGUAAUACGUAGGGGGCAAGCGUUAUCCGGAUUUACUGGGUGUAAAGGGAGCGUAGACGGCUUUGCAAGUCUGAAGUGAAAGCCCGGGGCUCAACCCCGGAACUGCUUUGGAAACUGUAGAGCUAGAGUGCAGGAGAGGUAAGUGGAAUUCCUAGUGUAGCGGUGAAAUGCGUAGAUAUUAGGAGGAACACCAGUGGCGAAGGCGGCUUACUGGAUUGUAACUGACGUUGAGGCUCGAAGGCGUGGGGAGCAAACAGGAUUAGAUACCCUGGUA